UGGGGAAUAUUGCACAAUGGGCGCAAGCCUGAUGCAGCCAUGCCGCGUGUAUGAAGAAGGCCUUCGGGUUGUAAAGUACUUUCAGCGGGGAGGAAGGGAGUAAAGUUAAUACCUUUGCUCAUUGACGUUACCCGCAGAAGAAGCACCGGCUAACUCCGUGCCAGCAGCCGCGGUAAUACGGAGGGUGCAAGCGUUAAUCGGAAUUACUGGGCGUAAAGCGCACGCAGGCGGUUUGUUAAGUCAGAUGUGAAAUCCCCGGGCUAAACCUGGGAACUGCAUCUGAUACUGGCAAGCUUGAGUCUCGUAGAGGGGGGUAGAAUUCCAGGUGUAGCGGUGAAAUGCGUAGAGAUCUGGAGGAAUACCGGUGGCGAAGGCGGCCCCCUGGACGAAGACUGACGCUCAGGUGCGAAAGCGUGGGGAGCAAACAGG
rnacentral:rRNA from 2 species